rnacentral:sRNA from 1 species
CAUAUCAACGAGAUUGCUAAAUUAUUUUAUUGUUAAAGCCCAAAUUAUAAAAUUCAUUUGAGUGGCUAAGCUUUCCCGCGCGCCUACUCAUUCUCUCUCUCUCUCUCUAUAUAUAUCUUUCUCACUCUUAAUCGUGCAGUGUGCGCCCCCUGUCGGCUGGAAGCGAGAUAUUGCGGCUGGUGUUGGCAUGAGAAAUGGAAGAGAGAGAGACAGAUGUAGCGGAAUACAAAACAGUAUAUCCCUAUAAUAUUCGAUUAUCAGGUAAUUCAUGGAGGGUCUGUACGAACUAUGGCAGACAGGCAGCUUUUCGUGACAUCCCCCAGGCUUAUGCCACUAGCGACACUGUGAAUACAUCUCUCGUUUAGGUCACGAGACCGUCCAGCAACAAGUGGUUGCAGGCCACAAUUCAACGCUAAACAAGCGUCAAGAAGUUUAACCAGGAAAGAUUUUCGUUUUGCUACCGGCUUACUUCCGCUGGCUCGAAAUUAUAUACCCUUAAGAGCUCAACAAGAAAAGCAAGAAUAAUUAUUCUAAGGCUUAUAAUAACCUUAAUGAAACCCCCACCGGAGAAGGCUCGUAUUACAAGAGUGUAAUCAAAAUUCUGAUGAUAUUUGUGCUCCUGUUCCUGGACCUGGUCUGCCUGCCAUUGAUAUUAUUUUACGGCAUAGAGUAUGUAGAAGAGUCGUACUAUAGCUAUAUUAAUCCGGCCAUUGAUGCUGAU